AUAUCAAUAAGCGGAGGAAAAGAAACUAACUAGGAUGCCCUUAGUAACGGCGAGCGAACCGGGCAGAGCCCAACUUGAAAAUCUCCAGCCUCCGGCUGGCGAAUUGUAGUCUAGAGAAGUGCUCUCUGGUCCAGUCCGGCCCCAAGUCCCCUGGAAAGGGGCGUCAGAGAGGGUGAGAACCCCGUUGGGACCGGUUGCUGGGCCUCCACGAGACGCUUUCGAAGAGUCGGGUUGUUUGGGAAUGCAGCCCAAAGCAGGUGGUAAAUCCCAUCUAAGGCUAAAUACAGACGGGAGACCGAUAGCGCACAAGUA
rnacentral:rRNA from 1 species